CCUACGGGAGGCAGCAGUGAGGAAUAUUGGUCAAUGGGCGGGAGCCUGAACCAGCCAAGUCGCGUGAGGGAAGACGGUCCUAUGGAUUGUAAACCUCUUUAGGCGGGGAGCAAUGCCGGGCACGCGUGCCCGGAGGGAGAGUACCCGCAGAAUAAGCAUCGGCUAACUCCGUGCCAGCAGCCGCGGUAAUACGGAGGAUGCGAGCGUUAUCCGGAUUUAUGGGGUUUAAAGGGUGCGUAGGCGGAUUUUUAAGUCAGCGGUAAAAUGUACGGGCUCAACCCGGGCCGGCCGUUGAAACUGGGGAUCUUGAGUGGGCGAGAAGUAUGCGGAAUGCGUUGUGUAGCGGUGAAAUGCAUAGAUAUCACGCAGAACUCCGAUUGCGAAGGCAGCAUACCGGCGCCCGACUGACGCUGAGGCACGAAAGCGUGGGGAUCGAACAGGAUUAGAUACCCGAGUAGUC
rnacentral:rRNA from 1 species